rnacentral:tRNA from 2 species
UAUUUUAAUAGCUUAUAAAGAGUAUAAUAUUGAAGAUAUUAAGGAAGUUGAUUAACUUUAAAAUAU